UCCCUGUAGUAACUGUGCCUCGAGUUUGGUAACAUUCUGUUCCAGAAUCCGACUUUUAGACCAACAACAUCCGAAUUUUGAAACAAUUGUAACUCCGAGCUCCUUGCACCUGUCCCAGAACAGUACGUGAUGGCUGGCACAGGAAUGAAUGGAAGAAUAGAACCAAAUGGAGAUACGCAUACACCAAACGGAACGGGUAAUGCCAAUGCUGUUAAACAGAUCCGUGGGCUAUCCCCCUCCGUCAACAAGUUCCUUCACGAUGUCUUCGAAACCGUCUUGGAAGACGUCCUCAAGAAGAGCACUAGCGCAGGGUCAAAGGUCAUAGACUUUCUCACUCCAGAAGAGCUGAGC